rnacentral:rRNA from 1 species
GACGAACGCUGGCGGCGUGCCUAACACAUGCAAGUCGAGCGAUGAAGCUCCUUCGGGAGUGGAUUAGCGGCGGACGGGUGAGUAACACGUGGGUAACCUGCCUCAUAGAGGGGAAUAGCCUUUCGAAAGGAAGAUUAAUACCGCAUAAGAUUGUAGCUUCGCAUGAAGCAGCAAUUAAAGGAGUAAUCCGCUAUGAGAUGGACCCGCGUCGCAUUAGAUAGUUGGUGAGGUAACGGCUCACCAAGGCGACGAUGCGUAGCCGACCUGAGAGGGUGAUCGGCCACAUGGGGACUGAGACACGGCCCAGACUCCUACGGGAGGCAGCAGUGGGGAAUAUUGCACAAUGGGGGAAACCCUGAUGCAGCAACGCCGCGUGAGUGAUGACGGUCUUCGGAUUGUAAAGCUCUGUCUUCAGGGACGAUAAUGACGGUACCUGAGGAGGAAGCCACGGCUAACUACGUGCCAGCCGCCGCAGUAA